CGCAGAGGGUGAAACGGGGCUUUCUCUUCCUGUUCAGGAUCUACCAGCAAUUUGGGACUGCUGCUGUAGGGGAGGGAGAGGACAGGCGGGAAUUGUCUGUUGAAUGCUUCCAGGACCAGAACUAGCACAGAAAAAAAUCUGAAGGUCCCUAAGCCAAACUGCUAAUCACAGAUGCAGCAGAGAGCAUUUGGGGUUCUAGAAGGACUUUUGGGAGGUCUUCAAGCAACACAAUGCUCAACAGCAUACAUAAAACACUGUCCUGAUCUGCCUGGUGGAAAUCCAUGGCCCUGGAAGAUGAGGGUUCCAGAAGUUACCGGAACAGAGCAGGUGUGAGGCCACCUACGUAUGCAGUUGUCAUUUUGGAACCCCCAAGCCCCUUUAAUCCAAUUCUACCUCCCAGUUUUCUUCUGAAGUUAGCUGGUGGCCCAAAGAGCAGGAAAUGGAGUGGAGAGACUCCAGGCAAGGACAGCUGUGCCCUGGGCUCCUGAACACAACUGCCAGGGCACUCAACCCUCCUUCCCUCUCAGAAGAGCCCUCCACUGGGGUCCUCCCAC